GACGAACGCUGGCGGCGUGCCUAACACAUGCAAGUCGAGCGGAGGUAUGCGGAUGGUAACUGAAGCGUACUUUAGCGGCGGACGGGUGAGUAACACGUGGGCAACCUGCCCUUAAGAGGGGGAUAACACCGAGAAAUGGGUGCUAAUACCGCAUAACAUACAUUAUCCGCAUGGGUGGUGUAUCAAAGGAGAAAUCCGCUUAGGGAUGGGCCCGCGUCUGAUUAGCUAGUUGGUGAGGUAAGAGCUCACCAAGGCGACGAUCAGUAGCCGACCUGAGAGGGUGAUCGGCCACACUGGAACUGAGACACGGUCCAGACUCCUACGGGAGGCAGCAGUGGGGAAUAUUGCGCAAUGGGGGGAACCCUGACGCAGCAACGCCGCGUGGAGGACGAAGGUCUUCGGAUUGUAAACUCCUGUCUUUUGGGACGAAUAAAUGACGGUACCAGAGGAGGAAGCCACGGCUAACUACGUGCCAGCAGCCGCGGUAAUACGUAGGUGGCAAGCGUUGUCCGGAAUUAUUGGGCGUAAAGGGCGCGUAGGCGGUCUUUUAAGUCAGAUGUGAAACCCCUGGGCUUAACCCGGGACUGGCAUUUGAAACUGAGGGACUUGAGUGCAGGAGAGGAAAGCGGAAUUCCUAGUGUAGCGGUGAAAUGCGUAGAUAUUAGGAGGAACACCAGUGGCGAAGGCGGCUUUCUGGACUGUAACUGACGCUGAGGCGCGAAAGCGUGGGGAGCAAACAGGAUUAGAUACCCUGGUAGUCCACGCUGUAAACGAUGGAUACUAGGUGUGGGAGGUAUCGACCCCUUCCGUGCCGCAGUAAACGCAAUAAGUAUCCCGCCUGGGGAGUACGGCCGCAAGGUUGA
rnacentral:rRNA from 1 species